rnacentral:lncRNA from 1 species
CGCCGUAUACAAAGAAAUUUUUCCUGUAUACGAAGCGACAGCUGUACCUGUAAACCAUACAAUACUACAAACAGUAGUAUAGAGCUGCUAGAGUAAACAGAAGCUAAACAAACGGAGUUCCAUAUACAUAGUCCAAUACCAAAACUACAGAGCUACUCGCACUGGCGAGUUAAGUAUACUUUGUAUAUGAACUCAAAACAAAACAUCUACCUGCAGUAGGGGUACCUCUAGCUCGGCACGUCUGGUAGGGCUCUAACUCAUGACGCCCUUGCCUCGAUCCUGAUCUGCGACAGCAGCAGCCGACG